AGCUUUACGCAGUGGCAGUAUCGUAGCCAACGAGGUUUAUCUGAGGCGCGACUAUUGCUAAUAGAAACUAGAUUAUAACAAAAGGCAAUCUUUCCUUAGAAAUUAUAAAAUUCUAAGAAGAGUUCCAGUAUUUGCCAAACUGGCCCGGGU
rfam:Canis lupus familiaris chromosome 17, whole genome shotgun sequence.